rnacentral:rRNA from 1 species
UACGUAGGGGGCAAGCGUUGGCCGGAUUUAUUGGGCGUAAAGAGCGUGUAGGCGGCCUUACAGGUCAGCUGUGAAAACUCGAGGCUCAACCUCGAGACGUCGGUUGAAACCGUAAGGCUAGAGUCCGGAAGAGGAGAGUGGAAUUCCCGGUGUAGCGGUGAAAUGCGCAGAUAUCGGGAAGAACACCCGUGGCGAAGGCGGCUCUCUGGGACGGUACUGACGCUGAGACGCGAAAGCGUGGGGAGCGAACAGG